GACGAACGCUGGCGGCGUGCUUAACACAUGCAAGUCGAACGAUGAAGCCGGAGCUUGCUCUGGCGAAUUAGUGGCGAACGGGUGAGUAACACGUGAGUAACCUGCCCUUGACUCUGGGAUAACUGCGGGAAACUGUAGCUAAUACCGGAUACGACCCUCGGAGGCAUCUCCUGGGGGUGGAAAGAAUUUCGGUCAAGGAUGGACUCGCGGCCUAUCAGCUAGUUGGUGAGGUAAAGGCUCACCAAGGCGACGACGGGUAGCCGGCCUGAGAGGGUGACCGGCCACACUGGGACUGAGAUACGGCCCAGACUCCUACGGGAGGCAGCAGUGGGGAAUAUUGCACAAUGGGCGCAAGCCUGAUGCAGCGACGCCGCGUGAGGGAUGACGGCCUUCGGGUUGUAAACCUCUUUCAGCACCGACGAAGCGCAAGUGGCGGUAGGUGCAGAAGAAGGACCGGCCAACUACGUGCCAGCCGCCGCAGUAA
rnacentral:rRNA from 1 species